rnacentral:lncRNA from 1 species
GGCCAUCCUGUAACCGUCGCAUGCGAGCGCGACUGGGCGGCUGCGGCCAUGGCGCAGUCGGGCGCGUGCGGCGGCAGGGCGGCCGGGCGCGUGCGACGGCCGGGCGGCGCGGGGCGAGCCACGGUCUGGAGCGGCAACGCGUGGAUGAGUCGGGCAUCCCGUCUUCCUCCUGUGUAGAAGAACCACCAUGGAGGCCGGAGUUGGAUGCCACGCCGUUGGGGAGCCCGAGCGUUGUCGGGUGCUGGCGAGUGCACUGACUCGGUUCAGUUAUCCAGUCCGUGUCGACUUCCAAUUGUAUGCCGUCAUUUGCCUGAUUAAGGAUGCUAUUUACAACUUCAUGGUUGUCUCAUUGAUUCCCGUCGUUUGACUUCAUGGUUCGCCUGAUUCAGGAUGCUAUUUACAAUUUCAGGAUUACUCUUCACAUGUGCGGAGAAAAGCGUUGGGACGGGCGCUGUCGGCAUAGACGGAGCCCGUGCGGUCAGGCAGGGCGACCCUAGUCUGCAACGCCAAGCUCCAUGGCGUUGCAGCCUGCAUAGAAGCGCCAAAGUGCAUGGCGUUUUUCGUGCGGUCUGCAACGCCGCAGUAGACAGACGUCUGUAUUUAGAGCAGAAACGUGAGAGUAGACUGGCGUUUUUAUAUACACCAACAACGCCACGGGUUCUGACGUUUCUAAAAGGAUUAGAUCGUGAAAUACUUUCAGAUCGAGUUUAUUCUGUGCAUUUUUUUUCGUCUUGUGGGUCAAAACAGUGAAAAAAACCUUGAUAUUAUUGGUUCCACAUGACUUCUUGAUGUGAUAGUAAUUCGUCUGAGCCAGGCACAUUCUCG